rnacentral:rRNA from 1 species
UACGUAGGGUGCAAGCGUUGUCCGGAAUUAUUGGGCGUAAAGGGCUCGUAGGCGGUUUGUCGCGUCGGGAGUGAAAACUCAGGGCUUAACCCUGAGCCUGCUUCCGAUACGGGCAGACUAGAGGUAUGCAGGGGAGAACGGAAUUCCUGGUGUAGCGGUGAAAUGCGCAGAUAUCAGGAGGAACACCGGUGGCGAAGGCGGUUCUCUGGGACGUUACUGACACUGAGAUGCGAAAGCGUGGGGAGCAAACAGG